GAUGAACGCUGGCGGCCUGCCUAAUACAUGCAAGUCGAGCGAAUGGAUUAAGAGCUUGCUCUUAUGAAGUUAGCGGCGGACGGGUGAGUAACACGUGGGUAACCUGCCCAUAAGACUGGAUAACUCCGGGAAACCGGGGCUAAUACCGGAUAAUAUUUUGAACUGCAUGGUUCAAAAUUGAAAGGCGGCUUCGGCUGUCACUUAUGGAUGGACCCGCGUCGCAUUAGCUAGUUGGUGAGGUAACGGCUCACCAAGGCAACGAUGCGUAGCCGACCUGAGAGGGUGAUCGGCCACACUGGGACGGAGACACGGCCCAGACUCCUACGGGAGGCAGCAGUAGGGAAUCUUCCGCAAUGGACGAAAGUCUGACGGAGCAACGCCGCGUGAGUGAUGAAGGCUUUCGGGUCGUAAAACUCUGUUGUUAGGGAAGAACAAGUGCUAGUUGAAUAAGCUGGCACCUUGACGGUACCUAACCAGAAAGCCACGGCUAACUACGUGCCAGCAGCCGCCGUAA
rnacentral:rRNA from 1 species